rnacentral:sRNA from 1 species
UGACUGAACAUUCGGCUCCACUAUCAA